rnacentral:rRNA from 1 species
GUGCCAGCCGCCGCGGUAAGACGAACCGUGCGAACGUUGUUCGGAAUCACUGGGCUUAAAGGGCGCGUAGGCGGGCUAUCGAGUCCGGGGUGAAAUCCUCCCGCUCAACGGGAGAACGGCCUCGGAUACUGAUGGUCUCGAGGGGGAUAGGGGCACGCGGAACUGUGGGUGGAGCGGUGAAAUGCGUUGAUAUCCAUAGGAACUCCGGUGGCGAAAGCGGCGUGCUGGAUCCCUUCUGACGCUGAGGCGCGAAAGCCAGGGGAGCAAACGGGAUUAGAAACCCUUGUAGUCC